rnacentral:rRNA from 1 species
CCCUUAGAUGUUCUGGGCUGCACGCGUGCUACAAUGGCGCUUGCAACAAGUCUUGCCAACCCGAUAGGGUGAGCGGAUCUUUGAAGAGGCGUCGUGAUCGGGACAGUUGAUUGCAAUUAUUCGACUCGAACGAGGAAUUCCUUGUAAUCGCGAUUCAUCAUAUCGCGCUGAAUACGUCCCUGCCCUUUGUACACACCGCCCGUCGCUCCUACCGAUUGAGCAAUCCGGUGAAUGUUUUGGACUGGCGUCAGAAGCGGUUCGCUCCUGACACUACGAAAUUUUGUAAACCUUAUCGCUUAGAGGAAGGAAAAGUCGUAACA